UAAAUACAUGUCACCUCUGUUUUUCAGCACAUCUGCACAAAGCUGAAGCCAGUUGUAGUCCGAUUACCUUGUAUUCAUUCUGCACAAAGCCAAGCUACAAUUGCAUUACGUUGGUCUGUUAGUCUGACUUAACAAAACUGGCUGCUACAAUUUCAUUCAGACUAAACUAUUUACAUGAUAUUUAAAAAGACAAAUGAAAGCUUUAGUGGAGCUGAAAUCAUAUUGGAUAAUCUAUAUUGGAUAAGUAGCAAAUAGACUGAAAUGAUGAGAGAUGCCAGAAUCAAAGACGUUCGGUUGCAUUAAUUUGUGUGUGUGAGUGUGUUUGUAGAAUGCAGCACUUAUUUCCUCCAGUACAGUGCAUCUGGACAGGUGUUGAGGUGUCUGCUCUAGGAGAAAUGCUGUACUGUCUGAUUGUACGAUGUCCACAUGAGUAUCAACACUACGGCUGCUACUGUGGACAGCAGGGGACAGGAAACCCAGUGGACCAACUGGACCGAUAAUUCAAUUCGGUGAAGCUCUGGUGUGUCCUGACUGUCCCUGACGUGUCUCUGUGUCGGGUGCUGUUUGGAGCAGCUCAGUGUUCUGGGCUGCAGGAGAAACAGAAAAGUCAACGCUCGCAUCAGCUGCCACAAAGGAAACCCCAGAUGUUCAGGAAAGAGCGUGUGAUCGACUGCAGUGGGUCUGCGAUCGUUUCACACUUCAGUCAGUCAGUCACCUCCUCGUUUUCUGGUCCCCAGCCACCAUGCCACCACCGUAAGUCUCAUUCUUCAGCACAAUCAGCCAGUCAGGACUCCAGUGAGGAGAGCAAUGAAAUGACCACAGCCUGGGCUCAAAUGAACACACAAACCAUAAAACACACAUGUUCAGCCACACACACUUGCACUCAACAUAAACCCCACACACAGCAAACCAGAGGAGGACAUCAAAGAGGAGGAGCCAGGAAAAGAAAAAGAAGAGGAGGAGGAAGAAAAAGAAAUAGAAGAAGAUGAGGAAGAAGAAUUGGAGCAAUAGACUGAUGUGGUUCUAUAAUUUAGAUAUUUUCAGGGAACUCUCGAUGAUACUGAGGAAUCAGUCAGAAAAGAUGACGCACACAUUUAAUGAAAAGUUGAGCUCAGUCUGACCUGACUCAGUAUCCAGCAGUCACACAAGAUCAUCAAAGAUCUGCUGUUCCUUUUCUGCUGGUGUUUGACCUAUUAAAAGGCUGUGCUGGAUCAUAAAUUCCAGCAGUUGAAUUUUUUUAUAUUUCGCAGUAU